rnacentral:rRNA from 1 species
AGUGAAUAGAUACCCUGGUAGUCCCAGCUGUAAACGAUGCGCGUUAGGUGUAUCGGUGACCACGAGUCACCGAGGUGCCGAAGGGAAACCGUGAAACGUGCCGCCUGGGAAGUACGGUCGCAAGGCUGAAACUUAAAGGAAUUGGCGGGGGAGCACCACAACAGGUGGAGCCUGCGGUUUAAUCGGACUCAACGCCGGGAAGCUCACCGGAUAAGACAGCUGAAUGAUAGCCGGGUUGAAGACUCUGCUUGACUAGCUGAGAGGAGGUGCAUGGCCGUCGUCAGUUCGUACUGUGAAGCAUCCUGUUAAGUCAGGCAACGAGCGAGACCCACGCCAACAGUUGCCAGCAUGUCCUCCGGGAUGGUGGGGACACUGUUGGGACCGCCUCUGCUAAAGAGGAGGAAGGAAUGGGCAACGGUAGGUCAGCAUGCCCCGAAUUAUCCGGGCUACACGCGGGCUACAAUGGUCAGGACAAUGGGUAUCAACACCGAAA